rnacentral:rRNA from 1 species
CUACGGGUGGCUGCAGUGGGGAAUAUUGGACAAUGGGCGAAAGCCUGAUCCAGCCAUGCCGCGUGUGUGAAGAAGGCCUUCGGGUUGUAAAGCACUUUCAGUGGGGAAGAAAGCCUUGGGGCUAAUACCCUCGAGGAAGGACAUCACCCACAGAAGAAGCACCGGCUAACUCCGUGCCAGCAGCCGCGGUAAUACGGAGGGUGCGAGCGUUAAUCGGAAUUACUGGGCGUAAAGCGCGCGUAGGCGGUCUGAUAAGCCGGUUGUGAAAGCCCCGGGCUCAACCUGGGAAUGGCAUCCGGAACUGUCAGGCUAGAGUGCAGGAGAGGAAGGUAGAAUUCCCGGUGUAGCGGUGAAAUGCGUAGAGAUCGGGAGGAAUACCAGUGGCGAAGGCGGCCUUCUGGACUGACACUGACGCUGAGGUGCGAAAGCGUGGGUAGCAAACAGGAUUAAUACCCUAGUAGUC